rnacentral:rRNA from 1 species
UAAUUUGACCGUGCGAAGGUAGCAUAAUCAUUAGCUUUUUAAUUGAAAGCUGGAAUGAACGGCUAGAUGAGAAAUUAACUGUCUUUUUAUAUUAUAUAGAAAUUAACUUUUAAGUGAAAAGGCUUAAAUUUACUGGGGGGACGAUAAGACCCUGUAAAACUUAUAUAUUUUGUUUUAUUGGAAAUCUAAAAAUUUUAAGUUUAAAUUAUUUAAUAAUACAUAUAUUUUGUUGGGGAGACACGGAUACAAUUUAAUAUAGGUAACUGUCUGUUUAAAAUUUUAUAGUUUUGUUUAGUUAAAGAUCCUUUAAUAGAGAUUUAAAGAGUAAGUUACUUCAGGGAUAACAG